UGGAAUCGCACCUCUUUUUUGAACCACAAUGGCUCCACAGGCAUUUGCAAAAACAGAGUUGGGGUUCGGCAAUGGAGCAGAUGUCUAAUUUCCUAUCACACACCGGCAACGGAGUUGGGGUUCGACAACGGGAAGUGGGUUGCUAAAAUUAAAGACGGAGUCAGCAACCCAUACGUUGGUGCCGACGGAGGAGUGACCGGAG
rnacentral:lncRNA from 1 species